CAGCACCGCAUCUCCCCUCAAAUGUCUGUAAUUCAAAGCGCCUCAGGUUCUGUCAGUUUCAAACCUUUCGGGCUGGAUUCAUUCUCAGAGAAUGACACCACUUUCUUCCAAACUGUUUUAAAUUCAGACAAAAAUCAAACAGGAGAGUCAUGCUUCGAGCUGGACAUUACGUGGAACCUGGGAGCAAAACAUCGGGUCUUUCACCUGAUGGUCACCAAUCCUCCUGGGACAGGUAACAGCUGCCUUUUGGAGACCUAGAGAGGCACAGCGGGAGAAGUGGUGCAAGCAUCCCCACCCCAAGUUGCACCACCAUUUGUUAGUCCUUGCUCAGCCCCCUGGCAGGUGAUGAGAGAUGAACUGGGAACUUGCCCACGCAGGGUGUGGCACAGGCACUAAAGGCUGAAGUACAGAAGCCACAGCCAUGGUGGGGACUUGUCCUGCCUGUGUCUAUGAUGUUCUUUAAUAUCUCAGGAUACAUAGGGGAUUUCAAUCUAUAGGAUUCUCAGACUGCCCCCCAUUUUCCAGCUUGAAAUGCUCUUUAAAAUGUAUUAGGAAAAAAAAAAAAUCCAAACACUAUUAAAUGCAAAGAAAUCAUGAAAAACAACAAGGAACAAAAGCUCUCAAUCCUAGCUGAGCACUGCACAGACAGGAACCUGCUCUGACGUACAUGAGCACCCCAUAGGGAUUAACUCUCUCCUGCCCAACAAAGCCAGCCUUCUAGCUUCUACUUUGCAGCACAUUUUGUGUGCUAUAAAUGUAUUUAAUCUAGCCAGAUAGGGAGAUUAAAAUGUACAGGCUUAGUACAUUUUACAGUACUAUCUGCAGUUGUCCCCACCCAAAAAAAACCCUCACCAUCCUGGUCCAGGAGUUUUCUGCCUAUAUGACAGAUAAAAAAAAAAAAAAUUCCCUGUGAAGCAGAAACAAGAAUCAGGCAGCAGAAGUCUAAAGGAAAAUGACAAGGAGAAGCUCUUAGAGUCAUUUUCCCCUUCACUUUCUUGUAGUCAAUAUGCAGAAAGGCAUAUAUUGCAUGUUUACUAUCAGCCAGUUAAUAUUUUCUUACCCUCACCCCUUAACUGAAGUUCCUAAAGCCCUUUGCAGCCACUGCUUCACUCAGUCUCAGGUACCCCCAGGAGACAGCUGGUGUCACUAACCUGCCUAUAAAAAGAGGGGCAGUGAGCCACAAUUGUCUGUGUAAAGUCACCUAACAGACAAUUCCUGGAACACAAAUUAGGAGGUGGGAUUCUCAGUUCUGACUUUAACCUUCAAGGUAGGUUUCCUCCUUUUCCUAAACCUGCAGUGCCAAACCACUGCAGUAUCAAACGUGCAACAGUAUCCUCCAUCUUCUUGUCGUCUCUGGUACCACAUCAGGGUGGAGAGACAUGUAGGCUGCAAGCCUCCAGAUCCUCACCUGCCUUUUGAGGAGACUGCCAUUUAGAAAGCUGAACCAGAGGAUUUAUGCUUUUGGUUAUAUGUGUUAUCCUUACUUUCUAUAGUGGAGCAUCAUUGCCGAGGAGGGAAUUACACAGAAAUCACUUGCUUUAGGUGCUGCAUCUGUCCCAUGUUUAAGCACCAUGAGAAGGUCUGAUGUUUUUCUCAAGGUACCACAUACUUUUAUUCCAAUGCUUUUUCCUCUGAAUCUGUGGGCAAUUCAAAAUCUCACCAUGAGACCACCUGUGCAGGGACACAGCCCACAGAAGGUCUCAGUUGUGGCUGCAGAAAGAACCAGCACAGAAUAAUUUUACCAUAGCCAUGACAAUUAAAGCAUAGCAUUGCCUAAAUAUGCUUGUCCUUCUCACAAUGGUCUACAAAAUUUGAGUUCUCUUAUUGUUUUGCUUUCAGGCCUGACUGGACACAACCAGCAUCUUGGGGUGCCUGUAUGGGAGAUAUGUAGAGAUUGUCUCUCUCUCUCACUGACAACCCAUUACUGUGGUACAGCACAGGACAUGAGCAAGGGGUUCCAUAGUCUCUGAGAUGGCAAUGAAGAUCCUGGGACAGAGACAAAAUCCUUGGAGACAGAUACCAGCAAGAAGCUCCAAAGAGGAGUUAGGGAAGGACUGCAGAGUAGCCUUGGCCACUGACUACGCUUUGAAAGGUGGAGAGGAUAAACGUGAAGGAAGCACACAUGACAAGCAGGAGACCUGAAACAAAGUGCCCCAAAGCUCUGUGAGGUAUGGGUUCUGGUUCUGAAGUUGAUCAGCUUCUCCCAUUAUUUUUCACUGCUUUCAUCUACCAUAUUCCUUUGGGCUCUUUUUACUUCCUACAGUGCUUCGGGUCCUCUGAAAUCUCUUUCAUUGCACCCACACUUUGUACCUCCAUACCUUCUGACACCUUUCCCUUCUUUUCCAUGCAGCUCUGUUUGCAACUCUCCUCCCUCGUUUCCUCCCACAUGUCCCUCCCAGCCUUUACCCUUCUGCUUCCCACAUCAAACUUGGAGGUUAUUUGACAUAUCUGUGGGCAAGUUAGAGCAUGGCAGUGCUUUGAGGUGUGAGUGUGCCACGCACAGAGUGACAGCACAGGGGACAAGAGCCAAGGGCCAGCCCCAGGCUGCUCCUGGUGUAUUGGGAAGGGGGUUUACAGCUCUGGAAAAUCAGAAACUCAUUCUUGGUCAAGCAGAAGCGCCACAUGAAGGAAAACAACAUCUGCACAACACAAGGUGGCUCUGGCCAGAGACAAGCUUGAUGCCCAGCAGAAUUCCCCUCUACUACACUCACACAGAGGGGAAUGGGAGGUGUUUCUAAUUUGUCCUCUUAAUUGCCUAGCUGGCCUUCAUUCUGCACCAGGCCUUUCACCAUACUUCUGAGCUUGGGUCCCAGCUCUGCUCCCUUGCUUUUUUUCCUGUUGUCUUCUAACCCCCUCGCUCUAAUUGCUUUUGCACCUCCAGAACCCUAUCCUCUCCUUCCUGUGCUGUCUUCCACACCCUUCUUCCUUCUGCAUCCAGCCAACCCAUCCUGCCCCUCUUCAGCCAGUGCACAUGCUUCCCUCUGUCCACUACCUCCCAAAUGUAAAAAAUUUAGAAACUUCAGAAUAGUUUGUGCUAAAGGGAUUUUUUGUCAGUGACUUGUUGGAGUAGAUGACCAAAUUGCUUGUUUUUCUUCAACUGCAUUCACUUUCCUUGCUCCAGGUAACCUAAUCCUGUUGUUUUUAACAGUCUUCUAUCUUCCCUCAGUAAGCCAUUACUGAUUUUUCCUGACUACUUAUGUUUCUAAAACAACAUUGGACUGUUUAUUUUAGAGAACUCACAAAUGUUGGUUUAAACCAGAGAUAGUGGGGCUUGUACAAAAGGAGCUCUUGUAAAAGAUGAGAAGCAUGUAUGCCGCUCUGUUCCCAAAAGCUGUCAGGAGAAGUCACCUGCACAGUGCAUGGGUGCUGCUUAGGUUUACCCAACAGAUCAUGGCACCCCAUGAUCCACGUGGAUCACUUAGUUAUUUUCCCAGCAAUCUGCCUGGAAACCUUCUUGCCUCAGCAUGUCUUUUUUCUCACGUGCAACUCACUUUCUUUGACUGGAUAGUUUGCCACAAACUUGUGUGGGGACCUAAGGUCAAAGGUUAAUCACUUUUGCAGUAGAGUGUCAUCACUGGUGCUGAGCACCAGCAGAAAUGAAUAUCAAGGAACAGACCAGUCUGAACACUGUCAAAACUUCUUUUGCAAAACAAUGAUGAGGAUGAUGAUGAUGACAAUAGUAAUAGUAGUAGUAGUAAUAAUAAUUAUCAGCAGUAAAACAAAGAUAAAUGAAUUCAUGAAUGUAUGAUUCAUACAAUGGCCAUGCUUCCAGUCUUUCUCUAUUUCUCCCUUGGAACUAAGAGUGGAGCCUCUGUGCACACAAAUGACAUGUGAGAUGCCCAUCUCAGGCAGGCUGCGCAUAUGCAACUUCUUGCUCAAAUGACUCCAAAUUUGCCCCAAGUGGUUUUAGCCAGGGCCUCUGGGAGGUUCAUCAGUAUUGCAAAAAUCAGAUUGUGCAUAUGAAUAUUGGGGUGUGUUGCAUACUUCCUCAUUGAGCAGAAUAUGAUGCUCAUUCCUUGCUACAGCAGAGCAAUGCACACUCUCCAGGAUGGAUCUGGGUGUAUAUAGUGCUGAAGUAUUGUAAGUAAUAAAUGGUGGACCCAAAAGUGCCUAGCUGCAGUGGCGAUUAAUCAUUUAGGCCCUGAUCCUGCAAACAUGCAUGAGUUUAAUGUUACUACUAUGAGUAAUCCCCUUGAUCUCAAAUUAGAUUAGUCACAGUCUUAACACUUGGCACGUGAAUAAAUAUUUGCAGGGCUAGAACCCUAUUUAUGGCCUGAUCUUGCAAAUUAUUGCUGUCUAGCACUGUGCCUCUGUUU
rnacentral:lncRNA from 1 species